rnacentral:rRNA from 1 species
CCUACGGGAGGCAGCAGUGAGGAAUAUUGGUCAAUGGACGCAAGUCUGAACCAGCCAUGCCGCGUGCAGGAAGACGGCUCUAUGAGUUGUAAACUGCUUUUGUACGAGGGUAAACGCAGAUACGCGUAUCUGUCUGAAAGUAUCGUACGAAUAAGGAUCGGCUAACUCCGUGCCAGCAGCCGCGGUAAUACGGAGGAUUCAAGCGUUAUCCGGAUUUAUUGGGGUUAAAGGGUGCGUAGGCGGUAGGAUAAGUUAGAGGUGAAAUCCCGAGGCUCAACUUCGGAAUUGCCUCUGAUACUGGUAGGCUAGAGAGUAGUUGCGGUAGGCGGAAUGAAUGGUGUAGCGGUGAAAUGCUUAGAGAUCAUACAGAACACCGAUUGCGAAGGCAGCUUACCAAGCUACAUCUGACGUUGAGGCACGAAAGCGUGGGGAGCAAACAGGAUUAGAUACCCUAGUAGUC